rnacentral:pre_miRNA from 1 species
CUGUUGACAGUGAGCGAUUGUAAACAUCCUCGACUGGAAGCUGUGAAGCAGCAGAUGGGGCUUUCAGUCGGAUGUUUGCAGCUGCCAACUGCCACAG